rnacentral:rRNA from 1 species
GACGAACGCUGGCGGCGUGCUUAACACAUGCAAGUCGAACGGAAAGGCCUGCUUUCCCUUGUGGAUUGCGGGUGCUCGAGUGGCGAACGGGUGAGUAACACGUGAGUGAUCUGCCCCCAACUUGGGUAUAAGCCUGGGAAACUGGGUCUAAUUCCCGAUAGGACUGCAGGGUGGUGCCUGUGGUGGAAAACGAUUUUCUAGUGGUCGGGGAUGAGCUCGCGGCCUAUCAGCUUGUUGGUGGGGUAAUGGCCUACCAAGGCGGCGACGGGUAGCCGGCCUGGGAGGGUGGACGGCCACAUUGGGACUGAGAUACGGCCCAGACUCCUACGGGAGGCAGCAGUGGGGAAUAUUGCACAAUGGGCGGAAGCCUGAUGCAGCGACGCCGCGUGGGGGAUGACGGCCUUCGGGUUGUAAACUCCUUUCGACAGCGAGGAAGCCACCUGGUUGGAAGGGUGGUGACGGUAGUGGUAGAAGAAGCACCGGCUAACUACGU